rnacentral:rRNA from 1 species
CCUACGGGAGGCAGCAGUGAGGAAUAUUGGUCAAUGGGCGCGAGCCUGAACCAGCCAAGUAGCGUGAAGGAUGACUGCCCUACGGGUUGUAAACUUCUUUUAUAUGGGAAUAAAAUGUUCCACGUGUGGGAUUUUGUAUGUACCAUAUGAGUAAGGAUCGGCUAACUCCGUUCCAGCAGCCGCGGUAAUACGGAGGAUCCGAGCGUUAUCCGGAUGUAUUGGGCUUAACGGGAGCGUAGGUGGAUUGUUAAGUCAGUUGUGAAAGUUUGCGGCUCAACCGUAAAAUUGCAGUUGAAACUGGCAGUCUUGAGUAUAGUAGAGGUGGGCGGAAUUCGUGGUGUAGCGGUGAAAUGCUUAGAUAUCACGAAGAACUCCGAUUGCGAAGGCAGCUAACUGGCCUGCAACUGACACUGAGGCGCGAAAGUGUGGGUAUCAAACAGGAUUAGAUACCCCGGUAGUC